UGCAGGGGGAAAGAACAUUUGCGAUCUUUUUUGCGACUCGCCCAAAAACGGGCAGAAAACCUAGAGUUUCGUCAGGCUCAUAACCUGAAGGUCGCAGGUUCAAAUCCUGCCCCCGCAACCA
rnacentral:tRNA from 1 species